CAGGUCCCUGCGCACAGGUGCAAUCUCGGGAUCGCCAUAACAGGUGAUUGAGAUCGGCAUUAUCAACUGUUUAUUAGUUUUAGCACCAGUAUCUGUACAAGUUGAGAUCGUUAGAUUCUUGGUCAGUACACGUAUCAUAUGUCUCUCGGAUAUUGAGUUGUAUAUUUGAAUUCUCAGUUAUUCAACUUUUGAAUUAACAUUGGAUAUUCGUGUAAACAUAGAACUUGAGGUGCAGUUUGACUAGUUGAUGAGAAAGUACUACAUGUAGUAUUAUUAUGGAUUGAUAUACCAUAUCGUACAUUAUUAUCGGAAUCACGUCAUCUUUACAUACAACUUUCGGUAACUGUUGUUGCCGUUUACGUCAUGCAUCAACAGUGGUAGUCACGAACUAGUUACGGUAACAGCAUAUUCCACAGCAAGAUGGCUGCAGUUCAGAUCUUAUUGAAACGAUUGAGAGACAAAACGAAGAAACUGCGUGAGAAUUCUGAUAGCGACAUAAAACACGCGAACAGAGCGCUACCACCUCUCCCACCUCACUACAUAGACGAGUAUGGAUUUGGUGCAGAUGGAAAACGCAAACCAAGAGUAUGUGAUAGCCCGGCUCAUAUCUACGAAGAAAUCCCCGAUUUCAUUGUCCCUACUGUGACAACAAGGAGCAGAAAUAAAGCAAAACGAUCUCCCGUAGGAGAAACACCACUAGACUCUGACAGAGUGCCAUCUAUAGGUGACAUAAUAACAACUGAAAUUAGUAAUGUAGCCAAACACAAAGACAAUAAUCAGACACGCUCAAAUAAUGAGGAUUUGCACAAAAGUACCCCAAAAAGCAGUUCUAUGGGUGAGUUCAAACCCGAGUUAAAUCAUCGAGUGGAACCAAAGAAAACUGUAUCUCGAACUGACCUCCAAUCCCAGCCUAAGAAAUCUUUUCAAGUCAAUGACGUAUUUUUUCAAGCAGCUCGUGAGUCUAGAAAAAGUGUUGAUUCAGCGGAUAUCUCUAGCAGCGAUUACAAUGGUUCUUGUGAUAGCUAUGGUAGCGCUCUUAGUUCAACGAGCCCAACUAGUAGUAAACGAAGCUCAAUAAAAAGCGGAAACAGUUUAGGAAAUGCAAGUAACGGAACAUUCAAUGAAUACGAUAUCAAUGCCGAUUUGGAUAACAUGGACGAUAUAGACACUGCGUAUACAUUUUCGCCAUCUGAUGGUUUCCAUGACAGCGGUGGCAGCUUUGGGGAUAUUGAAGAUUCGCGAAUGCGCACUCGGGAAUACCACUUGUACGAUAACGAGGCCAAGGCCAGUGACCAAAAAUAUUUUGAUAAUUUGAAUUUUUGCCAGUGUAGUCAAUGCUACCAGGCGGAGAUAGCUGAGCAAUACUCUGAUAAAUCCGACGCGGAGUACGAUUAUUUCCUUGCAAAAGUACACCAGAAUCACACGUUAAAACAACAAGUGGUUCAGUUGAUAAAAAGCUCAACCGAUAACAGUGACAGUGAGAGUGUAUUUCAUACUCUACCAACCAAUUGUCACUCACGAUCGAAAAAGUUAUCCAGUGCGCAUGCGUCCAUUUCAACAGAUAUCGACACUAUCCCUCCGUUUUCUAGUCCAUCGAAGUUAGAAAAUGAGUCGGGACGUCCAAAAAAACUACAUGCAGAGUCAGGAAUGUUUCGAAAGAAAGGGAGCCAAGAGGCAUCCCAUCCGAAGCCUGGUAGCACAAGACAGACACAUUCUGUAAACGACACUGACAUUCAUAGAACCUCUACCUUAACCUCAACUUCAAAACGAACUGUUUCACAUAAAGCGGAAAAACGGAAAGAGAAACAAACACGAAAAACACUUGAGGAGAUUCUAAGUUUGGAUGAACCCGAUCAUUCGAACAUCACGUCUUCCAAAGAUGACACAACAAUCAAUGCACAAACAACAGGAGCGUUUCAUAGAAUGGACCGAUUAUCGUGCAGAGUGACAAACUAUAACCCUAAUAAAUUACGCCAAAAUCUAAUACCACUGACAUCCACAGGGAUAGCACAAUCAGACGAUCUUUAUGGUUCUAUGUACGGUAACCAUACCAACGUACAGCGUCAACAUAGCAACCGGAUGCUAUCUGAUAUGAUCAGACAGAAUAACCAUAGACAAUCGUUUCUGUUUAUGUAAUCUGAUAUUUAUUGCAAUUUAAAUAUUAUAUUUAAGUCACCGUUAACUGCAUAAUUUGUACCUUUAUUCUUGAAUUGGACAA
rnacentral:misc_RNA from 1 species